AUGAAAAUGUAAACAACAAAGAUCGGGCCCCGGUUCCGGACCCAGCGUACCCGCCCUACCAUGAGACGAUCACCUCCACUCGUCUCCCUCAUUUUGGCCACUAGAUGGCCUAUAUUAGCCCGUGUCGGCCAUAAUGCCCACUCUCCCCAGCAAUAUUAUUUUAGCCGGACAUGACUUCUUUCAAUAGCUGUUUAGGAUCUCAUGCAAGCGGAUAAUUCAUUAACUUCACAGAAUUAAUAUUUUUAAAUUUUUUUUUUCUACAACACUGAAUGGGACAGGCGACGAAACACCACAAGGAUAUUGCGAGUCGCCGUAAAAGAAACGCGCAAGGAGGCAAUUUAGAGGCAAUCGUUGCGCCGAUUUAGGAACAAUGGCCCACACAAUUACUCAAAGCUGGGUAUGCCACAUAUUAUGUAUUGUAUGUAUUAAAUCGCUUAAUUCUACCUUACCCUACCUAAAGAGCUCUCUGGGGGGGUGGUAAGGGGCGAUAUAAAUGCGUAAAAUUCAGAUUAGGCGCAGAUGCAUCACCGUUGGAGUUUUCCUCACCGU